CAGACUGUGCAUGAGAGCACAAUCACACAAAAGAUUGAAAAAGAGGAGAGUGAAUGAGGGGCCACUUUGGUGUCCUGCCACAGGCUGGGCACAGCCUCAGUUUGCAAUCAGAGGGCUCCCCUGGUGCAGUCCAUGGCUGCUUGGCAGAGGGCUGCUGCGGCUGGCAGGGUGGCUCUGUCCUCAGCAGCAGUCAUCUCCUCGGCAUCUCCGGCUGGAGCUCGCUGAAGAGCGCACAGGAAUGCUGCUUAGGACUCCUGCCUGACCUUGGAGUAGCACCAAAGUCCUGGAACGCUGGGAUGGAAGUGUUAGCUCCUGAGAAGAAAACACAUGAAAAGAAUGAAGAUUUGCAACAGUAUCCUCAGAAGCCUGCAGGCUGUAAGAAAAUGCUUAGGAAUUGCUGCUUGAUAAAGCGAAUUUUUGCCUGGAAAAGUCUGAGCUCUAAAGUUCCAGGCCUAACUGUGACACUGUGAGAACAGCAUCUAUAGUGGCAUUCAACUCUUGUGAAUUCUUGAGAGACCACAAGUCCAGUAGAGCACUUAUUGCAUCAUUGCAGUGAAACAUCCUGAAAAUGUGUGUAAAAUGCAUUCUGAAAAUCCAAGCAAGCAAUGUUGGUUUAGAAAAUGGAUUUGGAUGUAAUAGAUUUGGAAGAUUCUGCAAAGUUCCACGUUUCCACAAUUUUUAAGAGCUUCAGUCCUCAUCUAGAAUCCUGACUUCUUAAAAGGUAUUUAUGAAGCUUGAUUCACUCCAUAGGUUUGUAUUGUAUGUCUGCAAGUAUAGUGAGAGAGUAAUGUGCUAGAUAAAGAACUAAUUGAAAAGGUAGUGUAGACAUAGUACAUAAAUUCAGCUUGAGAGAAUAUAAUCUUUAA
rnacentral:lncRNA from 1 species